AACGAACGCUGGCGGCAUGCCUAACACAUGCAAGUCGAACGAGACCUUCGGGUCUAGUGGCGCACGGGUGCGUAACGCGUGGGAACCUGCCCUUAGGUUCGGAAUAACUCCCCGAAAGGGGUGCUAAUACCGGAUAAUGUCUUCGGACCAAAGAUUUAUCGCCUUUGGAUGGGCCCGCGUUGGAUUAGCUAGUUGGUAGGGUAAAAGCCUACCAAGGCGACGAUCCAUAGCUAGUCUGAGAGGAUGAUCAGCCACACUGGGACUGAGACACGGCCCAGACUCCUACGGGAGGCAGCAGUGGGGAAUAUUGGACAAUGGGCGAAAGCCUGAUCCAGCAAUGCCGCGUGAGUGAUGAAGGCCUUAGGGUUGUAAAGCUCUUUUACCCGGGAUGAUAAUGAUAGUACCGGGAGAAUAAGCUCCGGCUAACUCCGUG
rnacentral:rRNA from 1 species